UUGCCUCUUUUUCUUAAAAAAAGAAACUCAUGUUACCUCUUCAUUCAUCUUCAAACUCAUACAUUACAUAUUUAUUCAUUUAUAUAUAAAUUAAGAUAUUAUAAAAACUACACAUUGAAUUUGUUGUGAUAUAAUUAUUACUAGUCAUGGAGAGAAAAAUUAUAAUCAUGUUCUUCCUUCUAUUAACCACGGAUAUUACAGUUAAGACAACAGAAGGUGAAAUAUGCGAGGACAGAAGCUGGCUGUACGGAGAAAAUGUGUGCUGGUAUAAAGAACUCUGUCGAGUAACAUGUGUGAGUGAAGGCUUCCAAGAUGGUUAUUGUAAACCACAAUUGGAGUCCAACUGCCAUUGCGUUUGGCCUUGUCAUAAACUCGAUAGUGGAUUCAUUGUAAAGGUUCCCUCUUAAUUAACAUGUUAUGGAUCAACCACAAAUUAAUAAAUGUAUAUCUUCUUCUAUCAUCUUAUAAGAUAUAGAUCAAAUAUGAUACUUAUGUUAGUUACAACCAAUUGUUAGUUUAUCACAUAUACAUCAAA